UUAUGUUCAAAGUUCUUUGCUAGAUACUUGUGUGGCUAUAAGAAGGUGUUCCUAAUUAUAUGCUUGUAUCAACCAAACAUAAAUAAAAUUUUAACAUCUCCAAAAAUUUAAAUGCAUUUGCAAAUUUUCUAACAAUGCAAAAUCAAAUAGAAUGUUAUAUAUGUCACGAUAAUAUGUAUUGCCAAGUAGGCAGUACAAAUAUGUGCUGUGAGCUUGGAGGUAAGUAAUAUGGCGUAGUUCUUUAAUUGAUCUGGAAAGAGCUAAUGACGAAGUAAAGAAAAGACAGAGUAGAGUUGUAUGGCUAACAUUGGUCCUUUUGACCUGGUGGGAUGAGAGCCUGUCUUUGGUCCAUUCUCUCUCAUUACAAUGGAAAGGAGGAAAAAAGAAUACAUUCUCAGACAUUGCAGCUGAGAGAUUGCUUCUAUAAUGUUACUAACACGAUGGCAAUGAAGAUCUUUGCACCACAACUCAAACAAGGUGCAGGGGCUGUUGGAGAGCUAGUAAUCCGUUAGAGACAGGACUACACAGAUAAGGAGAAAAGAAGAGCUUUGGAAAGACCCAGAGGUCUUUAUCUGGGAUGCCUCUCACGGUUUGCUGUCCUGUCUUCCUAAAAUUUGUGCUGCCAGACGAGGCUUUGCUUGUGCAGAAACUGUUCCAGAUGAAAAGAACACUUAAAGUUAUAUCAGUGGCUGGAACUGGGAGGUACUGAUAUGGAGCUCAGAACGGAAUUCGAGUCUCCCAGAUAGGUAGCAGGAGCCCAACUAUUAGAGCCUUUACUGCUGCUCUACGUGAUCUACAUUAGCAGGAAGCUGAAGUGAAGAGCUGAAGCCAAAGUCACAGCCAUAUGUGGGAUGCAGACACUCCAAUAUGAGAUUCUGGACUCAGCCAGCACACCACAGGCCAAACACCCACCCCUACAUACCCACUCUAACAAGCCACUGUGAUUUGACUGUAAGAGUCUGUAGACUUCCUUUUGAGUGACAACUAAUUAUGAUUAAUGAUACGGGAGUCUAGAAAUCUAGUUACAAUCUUCAGUUUACCCAUAGAAAAUGCCAUAUUCUACACCUAUAAUGUAUCAAAUAUAUAGCUAGCAAAUAUAUGCUGAAUGAAUGCUAAAUAAUUUAAUAUCAAUGUAAGCUGUUAUUAGUCAAGCAUCUAUUGCUGAUGGGCAAAAUAUCAAAUCAUUCAUAUCAACAAUUCAGUACAGUGCUGAUAUUUAGGACGCUUUGUGUAUCUGUAUGUUGUGACAUAAAAAUAAAGAAGGAUGUCGGCUCAAUUUCACUUGCUGCUUAUUCUUCCCUAUGUUCAAAGUAUUUGGACAGUUGGUUUAUCUAUAUUUGGUUCCCCACACAUCAUAUAUCAUUGCAGUCAAAAGUGGAAGCUAAUCCUUCCAUAGCUGAGAACUGUUUUAAAGAAACAAACAAAAAUAGUCACUAGUAAUAUGUCAGCAGUAUUUCUCUGAGCUUAGUCUCUUUGACUUCUUGUAUUUAGAAACCCAGUUGAACACGUAACAGAUGAGUUUUCCGGUUUCCUUUUUGAUUUUAGUGGGAUUAUAGUUCUCAGUUGUGACACAUCACAGUUUUGGCCAAGAUGUCUUUAACAGUUAGUAGUGAGCACCUAUAUGACUUUUACUGCUCUCCAGGUCUGCAGCUGGUGCCACAGGCCUCUCUGCUAUCAUGAGGUUAUCCAUGGCAAUGCAAACUCCCUUCUUGUUGAAACAUUGCAAAAGUCUAUCCACAGAAUAAGCUUCCACUAAGAAAUAUUUUAUUCAUUUUGGGGAAUAUAAGCCCAGGAUGGUUUUUAAAAACACAUUAGAAUGUACUAGUAUCCACCAAAAAAAGUUAUCUUUUUGCAAAUUCUUGUGAAUUUGUGCAAGUAUUCUUUCCAGCUAGGAAAUGUCACUGCAGCUGAAUUUUAAAUCAAGUGUUCAUAUUUCUUUGGGGAGUUUCAGAUCAGCAAAAGAAAUGGAAUAUUUACAAUUUGGUGCAUAAUUCAUUUUCU